CUAAGUUACUUCAUACUCUAGCCGUCCUCAAUCUUUUAUGCAAAAAACAUGAUCAUUUGUACUGCCAUCGCAUCUUUCUCUACACCUUUAACACGAAUUGCAUAAAUAGUGUAGACCUAUAACAAAUUGCAUAAAUUAAGACAUAAUGUUCAUAUAUUUUAUACCAUUUUGUUACAUAUUAAAACAAAUAAGAUUGUCAAAAUCGUGUUAUAAACAUCAGCAACACAAUCCGUUGCCUGGGGCCAUAAGUUAUGAACCGGGAAUUAUGAGACCGGAUGAGACCUGAUUUUACGAGGUGACCGGGAAAUAGUAUCGCCCCCGAAUGUGGCAAUAUUAAUCUUGGUCUCUCAGACGCUUUCUUUGUUCAAGCGAAAACAAGGUCACGUUUCUGAAUAAAUUGGCAACUAUAAACAUGAUACGAAUGCCCCCGAAAAGCAGUGACAAUGAGGAGGAGAAGCAAACUGCAAGCUACAUGGUCAAAGUAACAUUUGCGGCGUUCGUGACAACAUGCGCUGUAUUCAGAGUUUUACCCAUCAUAGUGGAGCAGUUUCAGUGAAAAUGAGUUUGACACAAGGAAGUUCGACUGAUUGUACCAGACGCCAUCAUUUCAAAUGCCAUGUUUUACUGAAGAUACUAAGUGCUUUAGUAGGGACUAAACAUUUAUCAAGCGACUGUUCAAUAUAUCUAUGUACAGUGUUUAGAUGCAGUGCAAAGCAGUGAAAUAAACUUUUUUUGUUUUAAAAAUGUUUGGUGGUAUUUUCUGUCCACCCUCAAACCAUACUAGUUAUUGUUUCAGGAGUUUGGUAAAAAUUACCAAUUUGUAUGGAUUUUCUGUUAAUGACAAAAACAACUGAUAACUUGAUAUGCAGAGUGGCAUGUAAAUGCCUCAAAUAUGAAAUACAUUAAUAAAAUGACUAAAUAAACUUUCAAGCAUU